rnacentral:rRNA from 1 species
GAUGAACGCUGGCGGCGUGCCUAAUACAUGCAAGUCGAGCGAACAGACGAGGAUCUUGCUCCUCUGACGUUAGCGGCGGACGGGUGAGUAACACGUGGAUAACCUACCUAUAAGACUGGUAUAACUUCGGGAAACCGGAGCUAAUACCGGAUAAUAUAUUGAACCGCAUGGUUCAAUAGUGAAAGACGGUUUUGCUGUCACUUAUAGAUGGAUCUGGGCCGCAUUAGCUAGUUGGUAAGUUAACGGGUUACCAAGGCAACGAUGCGUAGCCGACCUGAGAGAGGGAUAGGCCACACGGGAAGGGAGACACGGUCAAGACGCCUAAGGGAGGGAGCAGUAGGGAAUCGUCCGCAAUGGGCGAGAGCUUGACGGAGCAACGGCGCGUGAGUGAUGAAGGUCUUCGGAUCGUAAAACUCUGUUAUUAGGGAAGAACAAAUGUGUAAGUAACUAUGCACGUCUUGACGGUAACUAAUCAGAAAGCAACGGCUAACUACGUG